rnacentral:rRNA from 1 species
CAGUAGCCGCGGUAAUACAGAGGGUGCGAGCGUUAAUCGGAUUUACUGGGCGUAAAGCGUGCGUAGGCGGCUUCUUAAGUCGGAUGUGAAAUCCCUGAGCUUAACUUAGUAAUUGCAUUCGAUACUGGGAAGCUAGAGUAUGGGAGAGGAUGGUAGAAUUCCAGGUGUAGCGGUGAAAUGCGUAGAGAUCUGGAGGAAUACCGAUGGCGAAGGCAGCCAUCUGGCCUAAUACUGACGCUGAGGUACGAAAGCAUGGGGAGCAAACAGGAUUAGAUACCCCGGUAGUCCCUGUCUCUUAUAC